UGACAGACCCCACGGCGAAAACCCCGCCGGACCCCGGGGCCCUCCAGUCUGGCCCUGAGGGUCCCAGUCCUACCUGCCCACCGUGGUUCAGCUGCUGAUGGCCAGGAGCCCCUCCCCAGGCCCCAGACUCGUGUCUCCAUCUGGGAGCCUCUCCUCCGGGUCCCAGCUGCGAAAACCCCGCGGCAUCGUCUCCUCUCACAGCAUUACAGACCCCACCGGAAACCCGCCCCGGGAGCCCCAGCCCAGCAGGGACACCAGCCCUGGAGUUUGAGCGAGGACACAUCGCUGAUCCGGCCGGACCGCCCUGCCGGUGCCAGGACUCCCCUCAGGCUGGUCCGAUCCUGACCUCACCUGAGGCCCCUGGGACCCUCGAUGCCCACGGCGAGUCCGGAGGUUUCCGGGAGAGCACACCCUCCCCCAGGGCCGCCCUUGGCACCUCUGGGCACACACCCCCACCCUGGGAGAGAAUGCCCAAAGGACGCAGGGCUGCC